rnacentral:rRNA from 1 species
GACGUAGGGUGCAAGCGUUGUCCGGAAUUAUUGGGCGUAAAGAGCUCGUAGGCGGUCUGUCGCGUCGGAUGUGAAAAUCCAGGGCUCAACCCUGGACCUGCAUUCGAUACGGGCAGACUAGAGUUCGGCAGGGGAGACUGGAAUUCCUGGUGUAGCGGUGAAAUGCGCAGAUAUCAGGAGGAACACCGGUGGCGAAGGCGGGUCUCUGGGCCGAUACUGACGCUGAGGAGCGAAAGCGUGGGGAGCGAACAGG